GACUGAGGUGGCGCCUGGAGCAGCAACUACUGCUCCAACUUGUGGAUAAGCACUAGAGCAGGAGAGCUACAAAUUCAGCUGGAUCUCUGCUGAGCAGGGUCCUGGCUCCUCAGUGGAUAAAGGAAGGUGGAGCAGAGUGAAGAUGUCUGCAUUAUAGGAUAAAAGAGCUAAAUGAAAAUAACUUAUGUACAGUGAAAACUGGACUAUGGCAUCUUCUGUCACAAGUCAUGCAUCUCCUCAGGGUGAAAAGCUUUUCACAUCACAAGACACUUGUUUGAUUGUGACUUACCAUUUCCAGACAGCAAUGCUUCUUGUGCACCAGCUGCCAUCUGCGGUAUCAAGAGGAGUCACUGGGCUCUCCAAUGGUUAUACUGAUGUUUAGUCUCAGACUGAGUCGAGGAUCAGGCCAAGGCUGCUUCAGGGACCCAGGAAGCAUAAUUUCUGGCUCCCACACAGCCUUCACCUGCAAAGCUCUGAGCAGAGUCCAAAAUAUAUUUUGCAUACAAAUUAAUGAGAUACAUUUAUAGCACCCCUUAGACAGCUUUAUUCUGUUAGUGCUUACCUUUAUUACUGUGUAACAUACUCAGCUCUCAUUGUCAUAAAUUGUGCUCUACUUUUGAAGGGGGAGAAUAAUUCCAUAUAAAAGAUAAAUAAAUAUGAGGAGCAAAAUGUUGUCA
rnacentral:lncRNA from 1 species